AAGGGCUGGCCGCCAUCCUUUCUGGUCGGGGUGGCUGCGGUGCGGGCUUCCGGCUUAGGGGUUGCAUGUUCUGAGUUGCUUAGGCCUGGCCCCACCUCCAGCCAUUGGACUGGGCGAACUCGGAGUCAUACACAGAGAAGGGGUGGCUCAAGGCGAAGGCAGGCUGGAGACACUCGGCCGAGGGCGCCCGGCCGGACGGAAGUCCCAGUCUCCGGGGCGCGCAGCCCGCUCCGGAUCCGGAAGCGCCCGCGGCCCGCGCUGCCGAGGCCCAGGAGCUCUAGGGGCCGCCUUGGCCUCCCCUGCUUCCGCCUAGCCGCCGGUACAGCCAGACAGGCUCGCUUCGCACGUUUCAGAUGCAGCAUCCACUGCAGACGGCGAGGUACUAGCGCAGCAGCAAAGGACUGGAAGUGGCGACUUUGGGACGAAGGGCCAGGAGACAAGUUGUCGCUUUUCCUGGAUCGCACAGCUUUGGGCAGUCCCUGCGCUUGUCUGCGCCUGCGUUUUCUUCCUGCGGUGGAGGUAACGCUCUUUCCACUUCCUCACUCAGGUGGUAUGGAGCUCGAGGUCGAACACGUUUUUUGUUACAUGAACCAAGAGCUGAGACUUAAUGUGUCGCAACAAUUCUGGUGUUUACGCAGCACCGUGAAGAGUACUCUCAGAGAUGCUUCUCUCAGCACCCUGCAGUGGCCUGCCUCCCAAGCUGCCUCCUUUCCCAGAGACUUCCCGUAUUCACCUGUCCUAAGGCAGGGACGCUGAAGGGGGCGAGAGAGGGAGAAGAUCUCUUGGACCGCUGGUCUCUCUUCUUGAAGCUUCUGGGGAAAUGUGAAAGAAGCCUUUUUCAGUUCCAGUGGAUUAAUGAGUUUGCAAAUUCUGUUUGGUUGGGGAAGUAGUCAAGGCUCGGAGGAGCCCACUCGUGACCAGUUGUGGAUAUGCUCCAGGAGGAGGGGCACCCUGGGGCAGACUGAGGGGUGGGGUGGGGGGAGGGCUCUGUGUCUACAGGGCGAAUGUGACUGCUGAGUACAUAGGUGCUCAAACACCCAGCCGCAGAGUGUAAGACAAGCCUUCCGUGGAUUUGUGCUUUCUUGGCCUUGCACAGGUUCACCCUUGCAUGAGGAAAAAAGGCAGUCACACAAGUGCUCUGAAUCUUAGCUGUCCUGCAGCUGGAUAUUCCAAGCAUGCAGAUUGAGACAUAAAGAAGCCUCGAACGUGGCCGAGAGGACAGUAUGGCACAUGGACAUGGAUUAAAAUAGCUGCAAUUAGUAAAUCUCACGUUUGAGAAAUUUGCUGAAGCACGUGGAUCUUCUGACUUGUCCCAGAAGCACAAUAAAACCAAACCUGCUACUUUCAAAGUAAGAACUAUGACAGAAACAAAACAAAAAAUUGAAAUAAUUAACAAUGGUUUGAAGUAUAAUUAUUUGUCUCUAGAGAAACAAAGGAAGUCAAACUCAUUUCAAAUGUCAGAGGAAGACUCUAUGGUACUUAGGCCACACAAACCAUGCUGGAAGUUUCUACAGAAGACUUUCCUUGGGUGAGUAGAAGCCUUACCACCACCCUGAUAAUGGGCAGGGACUGUCUCUCCACCUCUGAACUGGUUCUUAGCUAUAGCAAGAACUAGCAGAGUCCUUGCAGAUUUUAUCUUCAGUUCAUACUCUUAAAAUCUGACAUGAAGAAGUGAGACAAAGCCAAGAAUUACGUGGCCUUUAGCUGUGGAAAUUAAGUCAUCUCACAAUUGGUUGCUAAGAAUACUUGGAACUGGCAAGAAAAAUGUAAAGCAAUGUCUAGAGUUUUCCUUCUGUGUGCAAUAUUGAUUUACUUCCUUGCUAUAGACGUCAUUCUGAGGAAGAUUGGUGUGGGUGAGGGAGAAGUGGAGCAUGAGUAUCAGCCAUGAUCUGUUGUUGGCUGCAAAGCCAGGUACCUCCGGAGCUGUUGGAGUAACCACUAAGAAAAUCAGGUGAAGUGCAUCCGCCCUGUCCAGCUUGUUGGUUUCACUGGUUUCCCAGUGGGGAAAUCCCAGCCCUGCAACACACAGCGAGAGAGGCGGCCAUGUGGCUGGCUUUGUGUUUGUUGGCUCUUGCAGCUCAUCCCUGUGACCCAGGAGAUGUGGCUCUGGGUUGUGGACAGAGGCUCUUGGAAGUACUCCUGUUGGUAGGUAAUUUCAGUCUUUGAAACCCAACCAACCAACUGGCCAGUCAGUGCACCCUCAUGGGUGCUGCUGGAGCUGGGAACGUCCUCUGUCCCGAGACCCCUGCCUUCCUCAGUGAGGUGCUGUGUGAACGUGGACCCAUGGGAAGGGGAUAUUCCAUAGGCUUUGCCAUAUCCAGGAUGUUGUAAUGUGAAAUUUACAACCACAAAUAUUAUUCUCACUUUUUAAAUUAAAAAACAGACCCAGAAAUACAUGUGAAAGGUGAAAAGUUAGUCAGUUACUCUGGGACAAAUCCUGUUUUGCUUUUUCACAUAACUUUCAUCUGUUAGCAUGAAGGCUGUACCUUUUAUUUCCAGUUGACCUUGAAUUUGGAACAUUUCAAAUGAUACCCUUGAAAACUUAGAAGUCAAGUGGAACCGGCCUGCUAAUUUGAUGACGACGAGGCCUUCAAGGUGACUUUAAAGGAGGGCCAACUGCUCACUGAGGAACGUGGAAGGGAGGGGAGAGAUACGCCAUAACUCAUCUCGAGAGCCCCAGAAGAGUUAUCAUCUCAUUCUCUGAAGCAAGUAGGGCCUCCAGAGAUGGGGAGGUGCUCUGGGAUUAGGAAUAACCCUGGGCCUUCAGCCCUGGGAUUUCCCUUUCAACCUGCUCUGCUUUCUCAUUUCAUGAUGCGAGUAGAGUGGCUGGCAGUCCCCAGGGUGGGCGAAUGGUUCCCUCUGUGGCUCCACGCAGAGCUGGUCAGAGUGCUGUGGAGGGAGGGUGCCCGUCCUCAGUGCGUCCCCUCGGUGAUCCCUUGUCACUGCCACCUCUGAAGCCUCUUGGCCUCACAGAGGGAUGUGAUAGGCAGCCUGCCAAGGACUACAUUCGCAGGAUUAACAGCAAGGCUAAUACCGUGAGGUCCUCUGAGUUCACCACAGCAGCAGAGGCCAGGCUUGGGCCAGGCGUGGGCCUCAGAAUCCGUGUCACAUCUAGGCCUGGCCUGAUGACGUCAGAGGCACAACGGUCCCAUUGUGUUUGACUUGUGCUUAGUUGUUUUCACUCCAUAGCAAGAGUUCAAUUUAUAAUUUUAGUAUAUGGAUGCUAAGCAUGUGUGUAGCGGCCCCCUCCCCGCACCAGGGAUUGAAUUCAGGACCUUGGGCUUGCCAGGCAGGUGCAGCACAAUGGAGCUACAUCCCCGGCCCUGUCUAAGCGUUCUUUUCCAUCUUAUUUGUAAACUAGCUGAAACACUUCUAGCAGCUCUUCAAAACCAGAUCCUUUGUUCUUGGCAGUUGUUUGAGUAUUGCUGAUUUUGUUUCUGCUUUUUGAGUAAUGUGACCCCAUUUUUGGAAAAAUCGGAUUAGGAAAAUAUAAAAGAAAUUUGAAAUAUUCAGUCUUUUUGCCAGGUACUACCUUGAGUGCCAUUUUUAUGUAUGUUCCGUGUAGUCUUCUCUACAUGAGUAUUAAAACCAUGAUCAUAGACUA